AGAUCAAUUAUCAACGACGACGAAGAAUUUAUUUAAUGUAAGAAAUCUUCCUGCGAUGUCUUCUAAUUCUAUCGAAAGCUUUCUAAGUCUUUCUAUGUAGAAAUAGUUGAUGUCUCACCGAAAUAAAUUGUCUCGAAGAUGUAACGUGAUAGAGGUGUACGAUGGAUACUGACUUUGAAGAGAUUCAUAGUUCUGUCGUAUUGUCAGAGGGACAAUUCCGCAGCGGAGCAAUGGUUGGACGUAAACAGCGACGUGUCCCAGUUCUUCGAAUCCCGAAUUGGAUGCUAAUGAGUCGCGCGUCAAUGGAAAUUCUCGGAGGAGGCCUUCACGCCUUCAUUCAAGGAACCUUUUACCUCGUCAUACCUUUCUUCUUUUUCCCUUUGGAACGUCGUUUCUUUUAAAUAUUUCAUUAACUCGGAGCUUCUUUUAAACGACUUUCAAGGAUAACUCUUUUUGAGAGAUCUAAAAUCUUUCGGGCGAAUCUUCUAAUUCUGCUUAGAAUUUUUCUUUGAAUUCCUCAAAGAUAUAGCAACUCUUUCUAUAAGGUUCUUUCUCAAGGGUCUUCUUAGCUGGAAAUUUUUUCUCCAACCUUAAAAAGUGUAAUACUCUUCUUUUAAAAAAUUUCUGCAGGAAAAUUCAAAAAUUCUGAAAGAUUGUCCUCUACAACUUCCUUCAAAUCCCCCCUUAAUUAAGAAUCUUCUUCGAAUCCUUUAAUUCAAAAUUCUCUGCGAAUUCUCGUCUAAUUUAAAGGAACUUCGAAAAAAGAUGAUAUAUUUGCCAGUGUCUUGGUGAUUUUCUUCGGGUCUGAAGAUUUCACUGAAAUAAAAAACGUUUCGACGAUCAGUGAUUAUCCCCGAUAUAACUGGUAAUCAUCGAGACACUUUCUCUCUUUUUUAGCCAGUUUCUAUUCCGCGCGUCACGACGAUGACGAACGCGCCCGUGAUCAUCGUUCCUCAGGGCGAUCGAAUCGUGCCACGCGGCCCUCGGUUAAUUGCCAAGCGCUUCGAUAACGGUAAUUAUCUUAAUCACGAGCUGCGGUCGAAUCGAAACACCUGGAUCGACUGGUAGUCCCGUCGUCCACCCACGUUGUGGCCUCUUCCUCGAGACGAAGGCGAGCUGGAAAGCGAGCCGAUGCGUGUGCCACUUUUUUAUACCACUGCUUGUGUCCGUUACACGAAAUUCUUCGUCUGUUCGAUGCACUAAUUAUUCUUUAAUUUAAUGCUAGAUGAAUUUUAAACGAGAUUUCCAGCUCUUUUUCGUCUCAAUUAGUUCUUCUCAGUAAUCUCUAUUUCUUUGAUCGAUUUUUAAUAGGAUUUUGUUAAUAGACUUCUACCUCUAUUUUGUUGAUUCUCAGGAGGAAGUGCAACAAGCUGGUAAUUUUUAAAAUAAUGACUACUUGUUUCCAAUUUUAUAGAAGUAUCAUAUAGUGUAUUUUGCUCUUUCUGGUGAAUUCCUGGAACGGUUCCAAGGAAAUAAUCUUUAUUGUUUACAGUAAUAAUAAACUUCAAGAAGAUUUGUUCAUAGCGAUUGUUAUUUAUAAACACACAGAUUUAUUUUCCGUAUAUUUCUUCAAUAAUCAACUCGGUCUUUCAGAAACAAUUCGUCCUUCACUUGAAUCAAUCGAAUAAAGUCUUAUACUUCUUCUAAUUAUAAUUAUAUUUAUAAUCAUAAAGAGAAUGAAAAUAAUAGUUGCAAUUUUCUAUUGUUUUCUGUUAUGCUUUAACGUAUCUAUAAAUUUUCUACAAAACUAUGUUCCUUCGAUAUCCUUUGCACCAACUUCUUAUCCUUCGCAUCUAGCAAAUCUAUGCUUCAAUACUUGUCGUCUUGCUCUUUCAUAUAUAACUGAGACUCCUUCGAGUUCUAAGAAUACUUUUCAUCGACCGACCAUAUGACGCAGUCUACGUAAUUAAUUAAUGACGCAAAUAAAUCACAUAAUUAAUUCAAUCAGGUGACAGGACAGUGUCUGAAGAGGCAGAAUUAUUAAACGAAGAAAACAGUUGUUUACAGAGGAUUCACAGUCCAGUCACUUUGGAUAAAUAACUGUACGGCUACGUUUGUCGAAUUUCAACGCAUCUCACGAGUAAUCGUCGCCGUUUACGUUCCACAAUCAACCGAUUAUGUAAUAUCACUGUAAGCAAACGUGACGCUUUCCAGUCGUGAUACAUUCACGCAAGCGGAACGCCGUGCCGCUUCAGAUUCCUCGCGUUACUCACAUGCUUCUGUUCCCUCAGAGGAAGAAAUUAUUGUAGAAUCGCGGAUAAUUUAAUAUGGAUGAGCAUCCUCUUUCCUCUCAUUUAUCUAUUCAUUCAUGACAGUAUUUACAUAAGAUACAUCCGUAUAUUUUUCUUUUGCAUUGAUUGUAUAGGAAAUUCUUUGAAAUCCACAGCUAUAUCUGGAGGUUUCCUCUUUCAAAAUAUCGUAGGUAUCGUGGAAGACUAGUCGUAGAAGUCGUUUGAAGACUAAAGAUAUUUCCCUACCUUGUUAAUCUUUUAGAAUUCUUGGCAUUUUAAAAAAUUCAAAUACUUGCAGUAAGUUGCUUCCAAAUUGAAUCAGUAGUUUUUUAAACACCAAAGAUUUCUUGGUAAUCUUUGAAAUUCUGUAAAAUAUUUGUAACAAGCUCCUUUUCCAAAAUGAAUAUAGAAUUCUUCGAAAUCCAAAGAUCUUUUCUCUUAUUAAUUCUUCAGCAUUCAUCAAGUUCUUGAAACUCCAAAUAAAUACUUGCAAGCUGUUCUUUCAAAUUAGACGCGAAAUCCUGAAAAAUUCAAUGAAAGUUGACUUAUAAUCAAUUUGAAUAAUACUAGAGAUUUAUUUAUUAUCCAUUUCUUGAAGGUUCAUGUGAGUUAAUGUGGAAGAAGAUCAUUCAUUAGGAGAUCAUCUUUCUUGGUUUAUUACUUGAAACGUCGAGACAGGAUAGUGGAUUGAGAGCACGUGCUUGGUCUCUAUCAGCUCUUACAUAAGAAGAAUUAUAGUGGCGUUUCUCUGGACCGUAUUACCUAGUGAAAAUUAUGCACGCGAACCUCAAGGCGCAUCCGGUCGCAAAUCUAUGAAACCUCCGUUUGUUAGUCCGAUAAUUGGUCUUAUUUUCUCACGGAUACAUGAUGCCACAAUCGUUCUCCAAUUCUUCUUCUCUAUUUGUUCAAACACUUUCGACUCAUUCGUAGAUCUUCACAAGGUAUGUCACAAACUUACAAAGUAUCUAUCUAAUUCAUUGCUUGAUAAAGCUUCUUAAAAUAAAAUGUAAGUGUUUCAGGAUCUAUACAAAAAUGUAGAAGAUUUUUAAUAAUCUUCAAGUAUUUCAGUUCACCAAAUCCUUAGAUAGCUUCUAUAGUUUCUUCAAGUUCUUAAAACCGUAUUACCAAGAUACCUUUGAUAAUUCAUCAUGCGUGUGAAAAUAUCUCUCUUAGAAUAAAUCUCUUCGCUUAACUCCUUUCAGAUCCCUCCACUUUCAAGAUCAUCAAAGUCUACUAACUCUUCCCUUCGUCGAUGGAAAUUUCAACGUACGCACUUGUCGAACGAUGAAUGAACAACAGAGCGAUCGCUACUAGGCUCACCAAGUUCGACCUCCUAUAGAACACGACGCUUGGCGUCCACCAGCACACUGGAAUGCAGACCGACAGGUUUUGAACCGCGAUAAAGUAUAGUAACGACGUGUGCUUCGAUCUAGGUACUCACGUGCAGGUUGGUACAUUGCGGUGCAAUCACGUGACUCACUGCCAUUUCAAAUCUGACAAUAAAGCGGAUGUGUUUUAUCAAAAAUUAAACACCAUAAAAAUGAUCGAAUGUAAAGAAAAAGUUAAAAUUUAGUUUACAUUAUGAGUUUAUAAAUGACUUGGUUAACUUCAGGGUGAUCAUGAAGGAGAAAUUUUUCACUGUAGGUUCAGAUAUCCUGCGCGAUACGCUUCUGUACAUAGCGCCACCUUCGAAAUUCGAAACGCGCCAACUACGAUUUUAUAAAUAAAAACUGUAUGUCACUUUUAAUCAGCAGAAAGAAUUAUUAAUUAUUAAUAUGAUAGACGUAAAUAAUUUAAGAGUUGAAAUAUAGAAAUAUAUAUUAAUAUAUUGUAUUCAAAGUAACAUUAAUUAACAACAAUUGAUCUUUGUCUUCUUCUUUCUUACACUUUUUUUACGAUUAAUAAUUUCUUUCAUGAUUAUAUAUAUAUUAUAUAUAUAGGUAGUUGCAUGUCGUAGCAUGUCAUUGAAAAGGAUGCAAAUUUAAAUAACCAAUUCUGCGCAUGUUUGAUUUUUUCACAUUCUUUUCAUUAAUAAAGGUCUGUUUUGGUUACAAUCUAAAAUAUUAAAUAUUCUUUACUCAAUUAUGUAAGCAAGGUCAAAAACUUAACAAACAUUUUACAAUGUAUUCCGUUUUAAAAUGAGUAAUAAUUAUAUUAAUAUUAAUAUUAAUAAUAAUAAUAAUAAUAAUAAUAAUAAUAAUAAUAAUAAUAUUACAUAUUACGCCAACAAAAUUCGUACAAUAUACAACUUGUAGAUAUACAUAUAAAUAAACAUCUGUUCCUCAAAAUAAAUGAUUUCUGCGUUUGGCACGAUGUCAUGUAAUGGAAGCAAAUUAAACACCAUGUUACAUUUUGAUUGUCCGUGGCUAGUCGCGAUGCAAUGAAUUAUUAUGAUUUGCUUCUUAUAUCUGAUGUUUCUUUUCCUUUUUCUCUUUUUUUUCGGUGUUGUCGAUGGUGUUUUAAUUUUAUGUAUAUCAGCCGGCCCCAUUUGAUAUAGGAAACAACGACGAUUUUAAUGUUACGUUAAAUAAUAAUUUGUAUGCCUUUAAGAAUUACGCUGGCUCACGAAAAUGAUGAUUUUAUAUCGCAAUAUACGCUACAAUAAUACUUCAUAAAAAAUACUCUAUAAGUUAACCAUCUUGUACGAUUAGAGUUUUACAAUUUUUUUAUACUUAUUUCUCUCUAUACAAACGCGCGAUGUAACAUUGACUUGUAUCAUAGUAGAUGAAGGUAUAUCGUUUUUAUUUUGUACGGACCGGCUGACUAACGAGUAUUCUGCCCAAUGUCAGGAUCAACUGGUAUAUAUUGCUUUAUGUUCACUUUGCUAAUCGAUUAUUCUAAUUUGUAACGAUGAUCGAUUAGCUACGUUACUAUUAUUAUAAAUGGCAUCCCACCCCCUAAUUUAUUUAGAUUAGAAUAAACUACAUGGAAGAACAGAUCUUCAGUCAUAGCAAACAAAAGCUAGGACUAAAAAUUUCAACAAAUAGUGUGAAAACUUGUGAUAUUACUUUCAAUAUAUAUAUAAUAGAAUAUCUAUAAUAUAUUGCUAAUUUUAAAGAUGCCAGUUUCGUCUAUCUAGAUCAGAAUGUUUAGGUGUCAGCAAGAAUGCCAAUUAAUAAUAUCAGAGAAGUGUCAAGAACACUUACUCUUUCUUUUCUUAUUUCCUCUCUUUCUCUCUUCCCCUCUCCCCCUAAAGAAUAAAA